AUCACCACAAAGAGUUCCUCCCCCACCAGGAAGCUGUGGGGGCACAGAGAGAUCCGGAGAGAAUCAGCCGUUACUUCCUGAGAAAUAUGGAGAGUUCUCUUCAAGGUCUUGCACUGGCAUGAUUGACAGGCAGUAUGCAAUGCCACACGGUGGGACAGGCUGCAUUCAUUAGCGACAACCAGAGGGCCUGACGUGAUAUAUAUUCACCGGGAUGCACCCAAAUCAGCCAUUAACACCAUCAGCCUGCCUUCAGAAAGCACAUCGACAGGCAGAUG